ACUGAUGGUUCCGUCUCAUCUCAGUAUUCUCCGCUUGAAUUAAGUAGGGAGGUGAGCAUUUGAAUCGUUGCACCUUGCCAUUGGUCUUAAUCCAGAUCAGUGUAAACGAAGAUAUUACGGACGUUGCAAAUGAUGAAGAUAAACUCUUUAGGAACUCCGUACUAACAUGGCCAACAUUUGUUCACAGAACGAUGGAUGGGUGCACUGUUACUCUCCCGAUCUUUGUACCAUCACACUUCUCGGUGCAGUGUAUUCUAGGGAAUCGCAAGAAGUUUCUAGCCCUGAAGUAAAAAGAAGCCAUCCUUCGAAAUCGGCCAAGAAGUCUAAGCAUGGGUUGAAAAUUCAUUAACAGUGCAAGUCUUUUCUUUCAGAGUUAUUAUCAGUGCAACACAUUGAGAAAUAAUGUUUUGGAAACCAAUGAAUCUGCUAUUCAAGUGCAACAUGAUGGAAAAACACUUGAGACCGGAACGGAAUACCGGAACAGUGGAACUGCCGAGUCAUUCCAUGGCCACGAAAUAUGUGGACCUGAAAAAUUGGGCGUUUUAUUGACGUUACAAGGUCACGGCAAGGGGGACGCAUUCGUAAAGUUCUCCUCAAAUUCACCGUGUCCAUGUCUCGUUCAGGCUGUAAAAAGUACCAAUGUGAGGAAAUUGGUUCAGGACCGGAUUGUUGAGGAAAUCACCACGCUGAUCGGAAGAUUUGUUUCAAUUUACUCGAUUGACUUUUUAUAUAUAAGUAAAUAUCGAAUCAUCAGAAUUAUUGUGUCAUUAGAUAAGUGAGAUUUUGAGAUGUGGCCAUGAUUGAUACUGUGUACCAAUGUGGUGUAUCAAUUGGUGGCUGUGAAUUUAAUAAACUUGUCCUGCAGUGAAUA
rnacentral:lncRNA from 1 species